AUUGAACGCUGGCGGCAUGCUUUACACAUGCAAGUCGAACGGCAGCGAGGAGAAGCUUGCUUCUCUGUCGGCGAGUGGCGAACGGGUGAGUAUAGCAUCGGAACGUGCCAGGUAGUGGGGGAUAACCAAACGAAAGUUUGGCUAAUACCGCGUAAGCUCUAAGGAGGAAAGUAGGGGACCUAAAUAAGGCCUUACGCUAUUUGAUCGGCCGAUGUCGGAUUAGCUAGUUGGUGGGGUAAUGGCUCACCAAGGCAAUGAUCCGUAGCGGGUCUGAGAGGACGAUCCGCCACACUGGGACUGAGACACGGCCCAGACUCCUACGGGAGGCAGCAGUGGGGAAUUUUGGACAAUGGGGGAAACCCUGAUCCAGCCAUGCCGCGUGUAUGAAGAAGGCCUUAGGGUUGUAAAGUACUUUUGUUAGGGAAGAAAAGCUAGUUUUUAAUAAAAAUUAGUGAUGACGGUACCUAAAGAAUAAGCACCGGCUAACUACGUG
rnacentral:rRNA from 1 species